GUUUUCACUAUUACAAUCCAGUCCAGCGUCCACUCUUGCAGAGUCCUCCGCCAUCAUCCGGCCAGAAAUCUAAAGCGCCACCAUCUCAGCCAUAGGUUUCCCCGGCGAUACUCCACCGGAAAUGGCCAAUCAUACACAGCUUGUCACUGCCCGAUGAGAGUGAAGAUGUCUCGGAGUUUUAUGCGCCACCUGCUUAUUCUAGACCCGAUCGCACCUGAUUCCUAUGGCCAUUUCAAGAUUCUUGACGACCGGAACCAUUAGGAGAUUUGCUGAUUGCAUUCACUCAAGUCCAAAAACCGCCAGGUUAGGGGCAGCUCAUAGCUUGGUGGGAUGUCCAGUUGGACUCCCUUACAUCCUGCGCCAAUUGUAUUCGCAUUCAAAGGUUUCUUAUAGAGGAUUUUCUUCAUGCACAAUACGUGAAGGCAGGCAGACAUUGUGGAAAACUGGGAACCUUAAAAAAGUAGCGUUCUACUCAACAAGUAACCCAGUUCCUUAUCAUGCUCGUAUUCCAUGGAGGAGGCUUGCUCAUAUUUGUUCCUACAGCAGUCCAAUUCUGCCCCCGUUAAGUAGAAUUGCAUGUGCUGUGAGCCUUGCUUUGACCCGAUCAAAGCUGGUAGUUCCAGGUAUUUUGGCUUUCAUUGUUGGAGAGCUGGGAUGGAAACGAGGUUUUAGGGCUGAGGCAGAAGGCUUCCCAACUGGGGAUUUUUUCUACACACAAGCACAAUUUGGACACGUUCACCUGACUUCUUUCAUUUUCUUGCUUUUGGAGGGUUUAAUGUUGUUUCUGAGAGCAAUAUAUUUAGGGAUAUUGUUCUCCCCUUGCAUUUUUAUGGCUCCCUUUGCUGAAUCCCUUGGUUCUGAGUAUAGGAAGACGUGGCUACAGACAGUUCGCAUUACAUUAGAAAAGGCAGGUCCAGCAUUUAUUAAAUGGGGUCAGUGGGCAGCAACAAGGCCAGAUCUAUUUGCAAGUGAUCUGUGUAAUGAGCUUGCGGAAUUGCACACCAAAGCACCAGCACAUAGUUAUGCACAUACAAGAAGAACGAUUGAAAAUGCUUUUGGUCGCAAUAUUGCUGAUAUUUUUGAUAAUUUUGAAGAGGAGCCUGUAGCAUCUGGUAGUAUUGCUCAAGUUCAUCGGGCUACCCUGAGAUUCCGCUAUCCUGGCAAACGAGGAAAGCCUGUUCUUGUUGCCGUAAAAGUUAGACAUCCUGGUGUUAGUGAGGCUAUUAGGAGAGACUUCGUAUUGAUCAAUUUAUUUGCUAAAGCUUCUCAAUUCAUUCCUACACUGAAAUGGAUGAGACUGGAUGAAAGCAUACAACAGUUUGCCGUCUUUAUGAUGUCCCAAGUUGAUCUUGCAAGAGAGGCAGCUAAUUUGAAUCGUUUCAUCUACAAUUUCAGGCAAUGGAAGGAUGUUUCCUUCCCGAGACCACUAUAUCCUUUGGUGCAUCCUGCUGUUCUGAUUGAAACAUAUGAGCAUGGCGAAAACAUCCUGCACUAUGUUGACAAGCUUGAAGGGCAUGGGCACAUUAAAAGUUCCUUGGCUCACAUUGGCACUAAUGCAAUGUUAAAAAUGCUUUUGGUAGACAAUUUCAUCCAUGCAGAUAUGCAUCCUGGAAACAUUCUGGUUAGAGUGUCUGAUGGUGAAGCUUUAAAUAAAGGUUUGUUUAAGUCAAGGCCGCAUGUUAUUUUCCUGGAUGUGGGCAUGACGGCUGAAUUAUCACAGAAGGAUCGAGUCACUCUAUUGGAGUUUUUUAAAGCUGUCGCACUUCGAGAUGGUCGCACUGCCGCAGAAUGCACUCUUAGAUUAUCUAAACAGCAGCACUGCCCGAACCCGAAGGCAUUUAUCCAGGUGCUUCUUUGUUCUUAUGCAGCUUUCUUCAUAAUAAGGCAGUGGAGAAUACAUUUAACUUCUGGGCCACAGAUGAAGGAAGUUCAUUCCACCCUGCUGAUUGUAUGCAACAAAUGCUUGAGCAAGUUAGACGUCACCAAGUAAACAUUGAUGGAAACGCUUGCACAGUGAUGGUAACAAUGUUGGUGUUGGAGGGAUGGCAGCGGAAACUUGACCCUGAUUAUGAUGUGCUCCGGGCAUUGCAAACAUUGCUCUUCAAAGUUGACUGGGAGGAAUCCCUCUUCUACACCAUUGAAGGACUAAUGGCCCCGUGAAGGUUGUGCGUUUCUCUUAGCCUAGAAAGAAAUCUGACGAAGUAGUUGCCUCGAAAAGAAUUAGAUGGACGAUUCUCUUGCUCUGAAGAAAUAAAGAUAUUACAAGAAUCUCAAAACAGAAAAAUACCUACAAAAUCUGCGACCAGAGUUGCCCAACAGUUUUGCUGUUUAGGAUUCCUUAGGUUGUCUACUAAUUGUAAAAUGGAGAAAAUCUACAAGUCUUCUGGCCAAAAUUGAGCGCUGCUUGUUGUAUCUUUGAAAGAUAUAAGCAGAAUGGUGUAAAGAGUCACUGAGCCGAGAACAGGAAAAUGAAAAGGAAGUAACGAAAGAUGAAUAUAGGUUAAAAUGUUUACGGGAGCUUUUCGUAUGGAUUGGUUACUUUAUAGGUUAAUCUGUUCGUAUGGUAUAGUUUCAAAAAAUAUGAAUAAAGCGUCGAAGGUGAUCAGACUUACCCCGAAGUUCCUUGGCAUAACUGGGACAAAUUCUACUGGAUGCAGUACCACUACUAUAAGUUCUAUAUUG